CUUUUUUUUCCAGGGAUGCUUUGUAUGCCCAGUCCAGCCCUGGUCCUGUGUACUGGCUUGCCUUGAAAGACUGUUACCACCUGGGGACCAAGUAUACACUGAUGCAACGGACUAAUAUCUUUCAGAGAUUUGUGAACAUCCUUUCCAAUCCUCCCAUUCUUCAUAUAGUACAAACCAUUGUACAGUUUCCCCUUAGCAAGACUAGUAGAAUAAGUUGAACAUAAGGAAGGUGCAUCAUUUUAGUAAUGUAAUUUAGUAAGUUAGACAAUGCUUCCAUUAAAUAUAUUGUUUCAGGGAUCCUUACCUUUUUGAUGUUCGUUAUAUUUGCAUAUAACAUUAACCUGCAUAUUAUAUUUUAAUAAAACAUUGCUUAACAUGCAUAUUUACAAUCUGGUAAUUAUCACAUCAUGAAAUGUCUUAAAGUCACUGAAGUGACUGAACAAAUUAUUAAAUGACACGUUAAAAAACGAGAAAUUAUUAUAUUUGUACUUGGAAGAGAAUAUAUAACUCUGAGGUCCACAUUUACACUCAAAUACACAACCAAAAUCAGUGCAAAUUAAACAUUGAAAAAUAAAAUACACAGCAUUCUUGCAAAAUAUAUAGAUUUGUUUGUUCGUGUACUAUCAGCACAAUUGCUUUUAAAUACAAAAAUGUACAUUUCAAAACAAUCAGAAAACAUACGUAUUACCAACACAGUGGGUUGCAAGUUAGACAAUUAGAAACAAGUUAACACAAACAAAACCCUGUUUUCAAGAUUAAACCACAAGUAAACAUAACCAGGGUGCACAUUUAAAUGCACACAAUAUUAAGUAAAGACACAAAGGCAACAAUAUUUUUUAUAUAUCAAUGAAGGAAACUUUGGCACAAUGGCUGCACUGUCAGAUGAUGAAAAAUCUGUUUUUAAUAUUGAUUAAAAAGAGGCAGUUAUAAAUAUUUAAAAUUGCUUUACAUAUAUAAUGCUUGAGUAUUUAUAGCAGUCAGUAUGUGAUGCUCACAAAAAAUGUAGCAAUGUAAAAAGCCAUUAUUGCUUCUCAACGGCCACAGACGAAAAAAAAGAUAUGCAGUGUAUAUUGCCGACAUAGUACAACUCCUUAGCAAACAUACCUCUGUCAUUCCCAAGUAUAAAGCAUUCGGAGAAUGUUCAACAGCAUCACUAAAUCUUUGCUAUCUAAAUAUUUGCUAGUAAACCAGGUAUUGAUGGAAAACAAGGCAUUUCGGGAGUUCGAGAAAUUUUUACAUUUUGGUUAUUUUUAGUAUAAAAAGUAAAAUUCCCGGGUCAAUUCCCAAUUUAAUUUUUUUUAAUAAAAGGGUCAAUUAUUUAUUCAAGUGUGAAUUCUCAGAAAUUUAGCUGGGAAAUGCACAUUUUAAUCAAAAAUAAGUUAAUAGUUAUUAUGAAAGUUAUUCAAAUGAACUACGUUUCCAUUUCCUGGCUAAUUAUUUCUCUAAUUGUUUCAUGACCAACUUAACUAUGAUAUUUCAAUCCAAAUCAACUUUCUUAUUUGCUUUACUUAGGACAUGGAAAGUUUUCACUAAGUUGUGAAAUGUUGACAACUUAAAGAGAAUUUAUAAUUUUAGACAUAAUUGAAAGGUUCCUCAAAGUUACCUAUGUUGUCAGUUCUACUAUUUAGGAAUAAAAGUUUAAAUUCAAUGUGAUCUAUGGACUUCUCAUGCUUUAGUGAAUAACCUUGCAAAACAGGAUUUACAUGGUUAUUCACAAAGCCUGGGAUUUGGGAGAAUAAGAAAUAAAAGCAAAAUUUAGGCCAAGAUUUUCAACAUGGAAGAGCUUUCCAACACAACUACGUUUACAAAUGAGCUACUUUGACCUAAAACUAUUAAAGAUGCUCUGUCAUCACCUGGGGUCUUUGCAUGCUUUGGCAGUUGGCCAUGUGGUGGAGGGAAAGAGGAGUUUUGCUCAUCUGAACCGGUCCUUGAUGGUCCCCACUAUUCUCAACAAGUCGUUCAUCUUUAGCAGCACCUGGCACAUCCUCUGCCAGCAGCCCUUGAUGUACACUAGAGUAUUUCACUGAGAUCUAUGGAGGAUCCAACCACCAUCAAUGGACAAUGUCUUCUUCCCUACAGCCAUCACUCGUGACAGAUUGGGGAAAUGACGAAACUUGAUGGAAGUAGCUCCACCUUUUGUUAAGUUUUAUAUAGAGUAGGUAAUAUACAUAAGAAAAAGGAGUUCCUAUUUUGUCGAAGUAGAGAAAUUCCAACACAGUCAAUGUGGGUAUUUCAUAAACACAGCUGCUUUAAAAAGUUAUUCUCAAUUCCAACUUAGUGAAUAAUACUAUUGGGAAUUCUGUUCCUGAUAAAACCUGAACAUUCAGAGUUCUCGGAGGACUAGCUCAUGAAGCGGAAAUCACAGAAAAGUAAUUAAUUAUAAAAACCGAGUACACUGGUCUAAAAGAAACAAAAAGUAAUUAUUUAGUUCAUAUAAUUAUUUUUUUAACAAAAAAAUAAUCACCUGUUUAUAAAUAAAUCCAAUCCUUUCCAUUGUAGAUCACUCUAGAGGCAAAUAUUAAAAUAUAAUCAGAAAUGGAUAUACAUUUUUUUCUGCACUUUAAAAUAAGACUUGUAUCAUAUGAAGGCACAUUAACUUACCGCUUUAAGUGCAUGGGAAUAAUACAAUGUAUUGCGCCUAGCACCCAAAAGGAUAAUAUGCUUAUAGUCACAAAUAGAUACACAUUACAUUUAAGAACUGGCAUAACUUUAUUCUAUCCCAACAUAAAAAUAAAUAUAAAAAACAAAGAAUAAAGUUACUUGCGCACACAUAAAAAUAAAUAUGUAUUUUAAUAACCUGCGCUUUACCCCUUCCCUGUAGCCUAAAUGUUUCUGAUAAUUGUUAGAAGCGGUCAGUAAGAUGAAAAAUUAAUUGCUAAAUAUUCAUGAAAUAUCACAUUUUUCCAGAGCUUUUCUUGUUCCCCAUAUAUUUAAGCAGAACACACAGUCUAGAUUUAAAAGUUAAUUAGACAUUGCCAUCCGUAUAAUAAAUAAGAAUUUCCAAUAGGCUACAUGUGGUAGUUAAAAAAACAGCUUGUAAUGUAACAGGAUGUCCACAUUGCUAUUGCAAAUAUUCUCGGGUGAUGAUCACUGCAUAAAAUGAUGCUUUCCUGUAGUGCAUACCUCCCAAUGUUGGAGGUUUGUCCAAAAAAUAAAAUAAAAAAUGGGUGCUUCCUCCCUAAAAAGGGGGCUAUUAGACUGGCAUGCAUUCACACUGGCAUAGCAAAAGCAUCUCUGGACCUAGAUGUUCUUAUUGUCCAGUAGUGGAAAAAUUAAUGGCAUAAGUCACAGUUAACCAGUUAAGAUGCAAAUUGCAGAGAAUGCUAUAUGUCGUAAACUCAGUAUUUGGUACGACAUAGGAGGUUCAGUGAAUUCCUAAUUAGCUUUACUAAUAAGUAUCUGUCAAUGCCAAUGCUAUCCAGGGAGUGUAUUAUGAAAUAAAAGGAAUAGCUAGUCAGUACUUUUGAUCCACUGCCCAAAUUCAACCAACCGUAUACCUAACUAUCGAUAUCUAUAUUCUAACUAGUAACUGACAAAACCUAGCCUAAUAGAGAGUGGAACAUCACCAAAAGCAAUAGAACGGCACAAGGUAAGACAUCAUUCUAAUUAACGCCACAUUCUAUUUACAUGAGCAGUAAAGUGCAAAUUUAAUGAGACUGUUUUACAUGCAGAAUAGCUACGACACAAAAAAAAAAAUAUAUAUACAUAUUUUUUUACUUUUCUUUCACACGAUCUGUGGCUUACAUGUUAAAACUGAAAAAAUAUUAAUGCACACAUGCUUUGGUAUUAAACAUUGGCCUGUUGAUAGCAGGUUACUUGUGGUAUGGAGCACUGCUUUGGAGUAAACACAAACGCUUUAACAUGACACAUAUUAAGGUGUCUUACAAUUGCACUUGAAUAUAUUUAAAUAUCAGUGGGUAGAAUAUGAUGAGCCUGAAACAACUACAAAUCAUUUUAUCUAAAGAGCAUAGUUAUAUUUUGGCAACAUUAAUCCCAUCACUUUAAAAUGGGAAACUUGGAACCAAGUUAUGCCCACUUCUGCUAAUUUAUUCAUUGCGCACUGGGAGGAGUUGUAUAUAUUCACCAACCAUGGCUGGCUCACAACUGUCACCUUUCAUUGCUUCAUAGAUAAUAUGUUUUAUUUUGGAAUUGGACAGAGGAAAAUUGUACUUAAUGUGCUACUUUUUUAAAGGACCACUAGUCACCCAGACUGCUUUAUCUCAGUAAAAUGGUCUGGGUACAGUGGUCCUGUCAUUUUAACCUUUCAAAAGAAAACAUUGCAGUUCUGUAGAGCUGUAGGGUUAACUUAAACACUCCUCUAGUGGCUGUUUUCCAUGCAGCAACUGGAGGCGCUUCUAUGGCACUGACCAAGUAAAACAGGAAGUGGACUGGACCAAUGAUGGAGGAAAUGACACAUGAGGAUAUCGUUGGAGGCAGAAAAGUGAGCAGAGCCGAGGGAGUAUUGGUGCUGGAAAAAGUUAAGUAAACCUUUUUUUUUUUUUAAAGCUAUUUUUAAGGCUAUCUACUCUAAAAAAAAAAAACAACAGAUAAAUAAACCAGUUGGCAAUAAGAAUCAAAUAUUUCUAUUAUAUGAUUUUCAUGAUGAAUGCCAAACAAUAAAGGUUAUUGAAAAAAAACAAAAAAACAUUGGCAUAUUGUGCUAAAAGAUAAAAAUCUAGAAAAAUAAAAAUUACAUCUAGAGAACCCUCUCAGUUUAAAGCAAAGAUUAACACAUGGUUAUUUAAACCAAGAGAAAGAAUGGUGAGCUUGUCUCUUUUGGGCAGUGAGGAGGGGGGUGAAGGUUGUUAUUUCUUUUGUAGACGAUGUCAAGCUUGCCAAAACACAAUUUAUAGUAAAAAGAAAAUAGUCAAUUUCAUUAUAGUGUAAUAAAAAAGUGUCAUUUGCGAGGGGCAGAGGUGGGUGAAAAUAAUGCAAAAAGGAAAGUUCUGGGUAUACAAAUUAUGUAUAUUAGGUCCUCUAGGACUUAAUACUGGAUUAAUUUGCACAUGUUUAUGGGCAUAUAGUAAAGCUAUAAUUUAAAUGACAGAUAGAAAAAGUUAGGGCCGUGUCACCUUAAUGAAACAUAGACUAUGGCACUUUAAGAAAUAUGUAUAAAAGUGGGGACAAUGCUUUGUAUGAAAGUUGCAUUGAGAAAGCUUGUAGGUGCGAUAUGUGUCAGCAGUGUUUUGUCAUUAUGCCUGCAUGCCAGCAUCAUGAUUUCUAUAUGGAGAGGACACAGAGGAAAUGGAGAUUGACAAUGUUGUUAUGUGUCACAAGUGAUCUUGUGGGUUGAAAAACCAAAAAGUUCCUAGUUUUACUAAACUACGUGUUUUAAUAGAGGGCAAAACACGAUUAUGUGUUCUUUAAAUAGGUAGGAGUUUUGAAGUGCCCAAGUGCCACGGGGAAACUUUUGAAUAUUGGACUGACCAUACUACUAGUAGAAUAAUGCAUAUACAUAUUGUUUGAUGACAACUGAACUGUUGACAAUCACAGAAGGGUAAUAAAGAUUAAAUUGUUGUCUACCCAGCACUCAAUUUUAUCUGUAUUAAGACAUUUUCUGUGUUUGCACAAUGAUGGUGAGGUGUCAUUGUGAUAACAGCAGCAUAUUGCAGCAAGUAGUAAGCACCAUAUAAAAUCAGUUUCUCUUGUACAUAGCGCAUGCUUACAUUGCAAGAUACUGAAUUUCAGAAUGAAACCCAAUACAUUCUGCAACACUGCUUCUAAGUUGCCGACAGUGAACGGAAAGGCUUGAAUAUUAAUGCAUUUUAGCACAGUAUGGUAGUUGGUUACUAAACUGGGAAUGUUCAAGAAUUGAUUAAAAAUUUUUUAACCAUUUUAGGGAACAUCUCCACCAUUUAAUACAGCUUUCUGGGAAAGUGCACUCAUGUUCAGCGGAUCUGCAAGGCUUCUCUGAUUGGUUAUACACUAGCACAGUGAAAUAGUCAGUGCCAGGGAACAAGGGGAGAUUACUAGAUCUGCAGCUACUUCAAGCGACAGAUUUCAUGUGUUACCAAUGAAAACAUGCCAAACAAAUUCAUGUUUCCUUGGUACCCCAAGGAAAAAUUGUUCAUUUUUAAAUGGUAUUUUCUAUUAAAGCUCCAAGAUGCAAUAAUUAUGGUCUGGAGUCCAGGGCUAGGACAAAGAAUAUUAGAUUAUUUUUUUUAAUUUUUUUUAAGGAGAACUAAGGUGAGAGUGUCAAGGGAUAGGAAAAUUAGUGACAGAAAGGUUAUUGCAGAGAGAAUUAGGGUUUAAGAUCAAAAAAGAGGCAUAAAGAAAAAUAUAGCAGGCUAAGAAGAAAGCAUGACAUGAUGGUAAUCUCCACAAAGAUAGUAAAAGAAAUUGAAAUCAACACUGCACAGAAGUAUAUAAAAAAAUGGAAAAGAAAAUCACAAAGUGAAGCCGCACUAAAGAAUAAAACCAAACACAUUUCAAAAAUUUCAGUUCUUAAUCACUAGAAAUCUAAUGAUUAAAGACUAAAACGGUGUUGAUUAGUUAUAGAACUGGUUGUUUUUUUCCCCACAAUUAUUUAGAAUUUGUAAACAUAAGAAACACAGGUAUAUUUAGUAUUUUCUUUGAAUAAAAUUGCUUUUAAAAAAAAAAAAAAAAAAAACUUUUUUUACAGUACAGAUAAUCCUAAUUUCAAUCCUCUUUAGAACUCACAGGGGUCAAUUUAAACAAUAUUGAAUAUUGCUAAAAUGUGUCAAUAAGCGUUCACUGCAAUAUGCAGCCAUUUCCUAACAGAUGUUAGAGCUAACUUUAUCCUGUUCUCUUGCAGAAUCUUCCAUAGGCCUUUGUUUCAUAGUCUCAUACAAUUGUAAUAAGCUUGCAAGGGACAGUGCCACUUUAAUGUCUUGUGGAAGCCUUUGCUCUUUCAUUAGACAUCUAUGCUUUCCAUGUUCUUCAAAUAACAUUGUUUCUGUGUGGCAUUAAUCAAAUCUAAACAAGCUGAUAAAUAUCAAGGUGAGAAUGGGUGAGUGUCGGGAUUUGUCAGCAUGUGGAGUAAGACAAAUAAAUAAAAGCAAAUGAAAACAGAAAUUUUUAACUUUUGCCUUGAGAUUUUCUUAUGUUUUCUUUAAGUAACAAUAUAAAUACAUAGCAGCAAAAUGUUUACCCAUUCUUAUAUAUUUUUGUCAAUUAUGUGAUAAUUUGUCAUGCUAUUCAAGACCCGAUCACUUAUAAAGGUGCUCUUUGUUUCAUCACUUUAACAAUAUUCAAUGCAUCAUGGCCCUUGACAUAAUUGUAC